rnacentral:rRNA from 1 species
UACGUAGGGGGCGAGCGUUGUCCGGAGUUACUGGGCGUAAAGGGCAUGCAGGCGGUCCGGCACGUUUUGUGUGACAGCGGGUGGCUUAACUACCCGAGGAUGCGAAAGACGGUUGGACUUGAGGACUCGAGAGGGACACGGAAUUCCGGGUGGAGUGGUGAAAUGCGUAGAGAUCCGGAGGAACACCGAAGGCGAAGGCAGUGUCCUGGCGAGUGACUGACGCUGAGGUGCGAAAGCCAGGGGAGCGAACGGG